UACGGGAGGCAGCAGUGGGGAAUAUUGCACAAUGGGCGCAAGCCUGAUGCAGCCAUGCCGCGUGUAUGAAGAAGGCCUUCGGGUUGUAAAGUACUUUCAGCGGGGAGGAAGGCGAUGCGGUUAAUAACCGCGUCGAUUGACGUUACCCGCAGAAGAAGCACCGGCUAACUCCGUGCCAGCAGCCGCGGUAAUACGGAGGGUGCAAGCGUUAAUCGGAAUUACUGGGCGUAAAGCGCACGCAGGCGGUCUGUUAAGUCAGAUGUGAAAUCCCCGGGCUUAACCUGGGAACUGCAUUUUGAAACUGGCAGGCUUGAGUCUUGUAGAGGGGGUAGAAUUCCAGGUGUAGCGGUGAAAUGCGUAGAGAUCUGGAGGAAUACCGGUGGCGAAGGCGGCCCCUGGGACAAGACUGACGCUCAGGUGCGAAAGCGUGGGGAGCGAAACAGGGAUUAGAUACC
rnacentral:rRNA from 1 species